CCUCUUCUUCCUGUGCCCUUUUUCUGUGUGUGGCGCCUUUCUAUCAGAGUUUCAAAUCCAUGUUAUUUUUCGGCAUUUGAGGUUGGCUUAGGGUGGAGUGGUGGAUCUGUUGUAGUGUUCUCUGACGACGACAACGAUUUGGAUCUAUGAGGCAUCGAAGGCGUUCGAUGGGGCAGGGGAGCGGCCCUGAGCCUAGAGCAAAGGUGCUCGCAGUAACGUGCUUGUUUCUCUUCUCUUAUGUUGUUAAAGUUUCAAUCUUUAGCCAUAUAUACGAAAGAUUGUGCCACGGAGGAUCAGGUUCUCACCCCCUGGACUGCUUCUGUUGCAAGGUGAUAUAGAUAGGCUUAUCUAACUUUCAUGGAAUCGUGGAUAUGGGAAUUUUGAUUUUUGUGUUUGUAUUCCCUGUUUUUUUUUUGGGUGUUGUUGUCCUUUACGCAAAGUUUAAUGUUUAAGUUGUCUGUUCACGGCGUUUAAAGAAUCUGGGGUUAUUUUGGUUAAAGGUGAUGAUGUGUGCUCCUUUUGAUUGGUUGGGAACCAUUUGUUUGUAUUACGUUUUAAUAGAAAGAUUGUGUUUUGAGGUUCAUUAUAGUUUGCAGGUUGGAUUGGAUCAGAUGGUCCACAUUUUUCAUUUGCCUUGAAGAGAAAAUUCCUGAUUUUCAAAAUAAUCCUCACUUUAAUCUACGUCGGCAGACCUUUUUCUUUCAUAUUCUUCUCGUACCUCAGAUUUAUAGGGAUCACAUAUAAUAUGGCCUUCUUUAGCUUGAGAGGAGUUGCUUUUUUUUUUUUUUUAAUUGUAUCAAAACUUAAAUUUGUAGGACAGACUCUUGCAAUUUUAGGCUAGAUGUUUUGAUAACACAAGAUGGAAGAAAGUGUGAUUGGUUAUUCUUUGAUUGCUUCAGCACUUGUUGUUCCUAGUCUCCUAGAAGAGGACUGGACAACUUCAUUCUUUUCAUGUAAGAAUAGUAAUAUAGGAAUGUGGCUGUCUAAUAGACACCUUGUAAAUACCAUGUUUUUUUUCCCUCCACAAUGAUUCUAGUUAAUGAAUCAAUUUCAGGAACUUGCAUAUGCAGAUUUUAAAGUUUUUGAUGCAUAACGUGCAAUCUAUGUGUUACAGUGGACAUAAUUUGUUGCGAGAACCACGCUGCAACAAAGGACUUGCCUUCACUGAGAAGGAGAGAGAUGCUCAUUACUUACGUGGCCUUCUGCCUCCAGCCGUCCUGACCCAAGAGCUUCAGGAAAAGAAGAUGAUGCACAAUCUUCGAAAAUAUGAGGUUCCAUGGAAAAGAUUUGCUGGCCUCAAGGAUACCCUUUUUUCACGGUACACUGCUGAACUUUUCUGUGCAGAGAUUUGUAUUAGAACUAUUUAUCCGAAAGUUUUCCCCCAAUUUAGAGGAUAGUAGCAUUCUAAUACU